rnacentral:siRNA from 1 species
UGAAAUGUGAGUGUCGAUCGAC